rnacentral:rRNA from 1 species
UACGAAGGGUGCAAACGUUGCUCGGAAUUAUUGGGCGUAAAGCGCACGUAGGCGGCUUAGCAAGUCGGAAGUGAAAUCCCUCGGCUCAACCAAGGAAGUGCUUUCGAAACUGCUGAGCUUGAGUAGUUAAGAGGAUCGCGGAAUUCCCGGUGUAGAGGUGAAAUUCGUAGAUAUCGGGAGGAACACCAGUGGCGAAGGCGGCGAUCUGGGAACAUACUUACGCUGAGGUGCGAAAGCGUGGGGAGCAAACAGG